AAGAGAUACAUAGUUGGCUUACAAUCGCCACUUCACACAAUUACAUGAAUAAAGCAUUACAUCAUCCAGAUACAAUCAAGGUCCGACUACGGAACCAAAAUGAAAGAAGAACCCAAAAUGCGACAAAGGUCCCCGAUCGACCCCAACUGGGCUCCACUACUGAUCAACUAGAACGAAACAACACAAAGGGCAAGAUCUUCAUCGAGCUCCUCCUUGAGCUUGAAUGCGUCACCUGCUCGGUAACAUAGGCACCUGCAAACUGGUUUUUGGAAGUAACUGGUGAGCCACAAGGACUCAGCAAUCCCAUUACCAUGGGUAUCAAGACUAGCAAAGCUUAAUGGGAAAGGAAGGGGUAAAGUGGUGAGGUUGCAACAGCGACUAAGCAUGAUAUGGUGGCUAACCAACGCAAAUAAGAGCGAGAAGAGAACAAGCGGAACGGCCGUGAAGCUAGCAAUGAUCAAGAGGUGAUCCUGAACACCUACUUACGUCAAACAUAACACAGAAACCGUGUUCACUUCCCGGACUCCGCCGAGAAGAGACCAUCACGGCUACACACUCGGUUGAUGCGUUUUAAUUCGGAUCAAGUGUCAAGUUAUCUACAACCGGACAUUAACAAAUUCCCAUCUGCCACAUAACCGCGGGCACGGCUCUCGAAAGUUUAUACCCUGCAGGGGUGUCCCAACUUAGCCCAUGACAAGCUCUCGCGAUCAUCGAAGGAAUAGACCUUCACCCGAGACACUCCGAUCAGACUCGGUAUCCCGGUACAUCAAGACAUUUCGACAAUGGUAAAACAAGACCAGCAAAGCCGCCCGAUGCACCGACAAUCCCGAUAGGAGCUGCACAUAUCUCGUUCUCAGGGCAACACCGGAUAGGUCAGCCUACGAGUAAAACCAGCCCUCGAGUUGCCCCGAGGUGGCCCCGCAGUCUGCCCGGUUCGGACCAACACUUAGACAAGCACUGGCCCGGGGGGGGGGGCUAAAUAAAGAUGACCCUUGGGUUAAUUACUCCCAAGGGAAAAGUAGGUGGUGGUGAGGCAAAUGGUAAAAGGCAAUGUUGGGCCUUGCUGGACAAGUUUUAUUCAAAGCGAACUGUCGGGGGGGUCCCAUAAAUCACCCGACCGCGUUAGGGACGCAAAAUCCGGGAACAUAACACCGGUAUGACGGAAACUAGGGCGGCAAGAGUGGAACAAAACACCAGGCAUAAGGCCGAGCCUUCCACCCUUUACCAAGUAUAUAGAUGCAUUAAUAAUAUAAGAGAUAUUGUGAUAUCCCAACAUAAACCCUGUCCACCAUGGAGAAAUCUUCAACUUCACCUGCAACUAGCAACGCUAUAAGAGGGGCUGAGCAAAGCGGGAACAUAGCCAAACAAUGGUUUGCUAGGAAUGGUGUCAAAGGUUAGAGGUUCAUGGCAAUAUGGGAUGGCUUGAUAAACAGGUAAUAGGUAGCGCAGCAUAGCGAUAGAACGAAGCAACUAGCAUAGCAAUGAUAGUAGUGAGAUCCAGGGUAGCGGUCAUCUUGCCUGAAAUCCUGCAAGGAAGAAGAACGAGUCCAUGAAGAAGAUGAACGGAUGAAGCCGAACCAAACGUAGACG
rnacentral:lncRNA from 1 species